UGGGGAAUAUUGGACAAUGGGCGCAAGCCUGAUCCAGCCAUGCCUCGUGAGUGAUGAAGGCCCUAGGGUUGUAAAGCUCUUUCACCGGUGAAGAUAAUGACGGUAACCGGAGAAGAAGCCCCGGCUAACUUCGUGCCAGCAGCCGCGGUAAUACGAAGGGGGCUAGCGUUGUUCGGAUUUACUGGGCGUAAAGCGCACGUAGGCGGACUUUUAAGUCAGGGGUGAAAUCCCGGGGCUCAACCCCGGAACUGCCUUUGAUACUGGAAGUCUUGAGUAUGGUAGAGGUGAGUGGAAUUCCGAGUGUAGAGGUGAAAUUCGUAGAUAUUCGGAGGAACACCAGUGGCGAAGGCGGCUCACUGGACCAUUACUGACGCUGAGGUGCGAAAGCGUGGGGAGCAAACAGG
rnacentral:rRNA from 1 species